rnacentral:rRNA from 1 species
AACGAACGCUGGCGGCGUGCCUAAUACAUGCAAGUCGAACGAGAAAGUGGCUUCGGCCAUGAGUACAGUGGCAGACGGGUGAGUAAUACAUGGGUAACUUUCCUCCAAGAUGGGGACAACCUUCCGAAAGGAGGGCUAAUACCGAAUGAGACCACAGCGACAUAUGUCGAAGGGGUUAAAGGCGGCCUCUAUUUAUAAGCUGUCACUUGGAGAUAGGCUCAUGCACCAUUAGCUUGUUGGUAGGGUAACGGCCUACCAAAGCUGCGAUGGUUAGCUGAUCUGAGAGGUUGAGCAGCCACACUGGAACUGAGACACGGUCCAGACUCCUACGGGAGGCAGCAGUAGGGAAUAUUGCGCAAUGGAGGAAACUCUGACGCAGCGACGCCGCGUGGGUGACGAAGGCUUUCGGGUCGUAAAGCCCUGUCGGAUGGGACGAAACAGUUCAUGGCUAAUAUCCAUGGACCUUGACGGUACCAUUAGAGGAAGCACCGGCUAACUACGUGCCAGCCGCCGCGGUAACAC